GGAUAUAGCUCAGUAGGCAGAAUGUUUGCCUCACAUGCACAAGGCCUUGGGUUCAAUCCCCAGCUCUGUACA
rnacentral:tRNA from 1 species